UACGUAGGGGGCAAGCGUUGUCCGGAUUUACUGGGCGUAAAGAGCGCGCAGGCGGUCGGUCAAGUCGCGUGUGAAAGCCCCCGGCUCAACUGGGGAGGGUCACGCGAUACUGAUCGACUCGAAGGCAGGAGAGGGUAGUGGAAUUCCCGGUGUAGUGGUGAAAUGCGUAGAUAUCGGGAGGAACACCAGUGGCGAAGGCGACUACCUGGCCUGUUCUUGACGCUGAGGCGCGAAAGCUAGGGGAGCAAACGGG
rnacentral:rRNA from 1 species